UCGGCCUGACAUCCCUAUAGAUAGAGAUCCAGUGACUCAGGAGGAGUUACAUCAGGUGGACAGGAUCGAUGAUGUAGACAUUGAUACUAUUGACUUUUUCUUAUGUAUUUCUCGUUAUCUCUUUUGAUAGGCCUCUGUUAGCAUCUGGGUAGCUUCGCCCCAUUCUCGCUAUAUCUUUUGAUAGGCCUCUAUUGUAUGUUGGGUAGCUUCGCCCCAUUUCCCUGUAUUUUAG
rnacentral:lncRNA from 1 species